rnacentral:rRNA from 1 species
GAUGAACGCUAGCUACAGGCUUAACACAUGCAAGUCGAGGGGUAACGAGAGGAAAGCUUGCUUUCCUUGUCGACGACCGGCGCACGGGUGAGUAACGCGUAUCCAACCUGCCCCCAACUAGGGAAUAACCUUGCGAAAGUAAGACUAAUACCCUAUAAUUUCCUCAGAUGCCAUCUGACGAGGAAUAAAGAUUUAUCGGUUGUGGAUGGGGAUGCGUCUGAUUAGCUUGUUGGAGGGGUAACGGCCCACCAAGGCAACGAUCAGUAGGGGUUCGGAGAGGAAGGUCACCCACAUUGGGACUGAGACACGGUCCAAACUCCUACGGGAGGCAGCAGUGAGGAAUAUUGGUCAAUGGUCGGAAGCCUGAACCAGCCAAGUAGCGUGCAGGAUGACGGCCCUAUGGGUUGUAAACUGCUUUUAUACAGGAAUAAAUUUAGCCACGUGUGGUUAUUUGUAGGUACUGUAUGAAUAAGGACCGGCUAAGUCCGUGCCAGCCGCCGCCGUAA